rnacentral:rRNA from 1 species
UACGGAGGGUGCAAGCGUUAUCCGGAUUCACUGGGUUUAAAGGGUGCGUAGGUGGGUCUGUAAGUCAGUGGUGAAAUCUCCGGGCUUAACCCGGAAACUGCCAUUGAUACUAUAGGUCUUGAAUUUUCUGGAGGAUAGCGGAAUAUGUCAUGUAGCGGUGAAAUGCAUAGAUAUGACAUAGAACACCAAUUGCGAAGGCAGCUAUCUACAGGAACAUUGACACUGAGGCACGAAAGCGUGGGGAUCAAACAGG